GUCGAGAGGCUUCGGCAAUGGGGGAAACCCUGACCGAGCGACGCCGCGUGGAGGAUGAAGGCCCUUGGGUUGUAAACUCCUUUCGUGGGGGAAGAAUGUAUUCGAGGUAAAUAAUCUCGAGUAUUGACGGUACCCCAAGAAGAAGCUCCGGCUAACUCCGUGCCAGCAGCCGCGGUAAUACGGGGGGAGCAAGCGUUGUUCGGAAUCACUGGGCGUAAAGGGCGUCUAGGCGGUUCGGUAAGUGGGAUGUGAAAUGCCCGGGCUCACCCCGGGACCUGCAUCCCAAACUGCUGAGCUUGAGUACAGGAGAGGGUGGGGGAAUUCCAGGUGUAGCGGUGAAAUGCGUAGAUAUCUGGAGGAACACCGGUGGCGAAGGCGCCCACCUGGCCUGUUACUGACGCUGAAGCGCGAAAGCUAGGGGAGCAAACGGGAUUAGAAACCCGAGUAGUCC
rnacentral:rRNA from 1 species